rnacentral:rRNA from 1 species
GACGUAGGGCGCAAGCGUUGUCCGGAUUUAUUGGGCGUAAAGAGCUCGUAGGCGGCUUGUCGCGUCGACUGUGAAAACCCGCGGCUCAACCGUGUGGUCUGCAGUCGAUACGGGCAGGCUAGAGUUCGGUAGGGGAGACUGGAAUUCCGGGUGUAGUGGUGAAAUGCGUAGAGAUCCGGAGGAACACCAGUGGCGAAGGCGACACGCUGGGCCGUACCUGACACUGAUGCGCGACAGCAUGGGGAGCAAACAGG